UUACAGUCACGCAUAUCUGGAGGAGUCA
rnacentral:piRNA from 1 species